AAUAUAAUUCUGUGUGAUAUAUUUGUAAGCAAGGAUCUAUGAAAAGGCCAACAUCGCAAUCUUUGCACUCGUACCGAGAAUCCGCUCUUUUAUCAUUUCUGCUACAAAUUACACAUCUCCGUCUUCUGUAUACACUUCAUUUCGAUGCCGCAUAUAUGCGGCAUAUCUCCUCUUCCUAAAUUGUCCAUUUUUGUGCACAAUCUGAGCGUCAGUUAGGGAGACAUUACUGUACAUCGUUACAAGGUUAUAAGCCACCGCCUACUCAGUGCGACAAACUGAGAGCGCGAUUCUAGAAUUCGCGAUACACUCAUGCACAUACAAUUCUAUUAGAUUGAAAGCUACUAUCUUUUACCAGUCUAUCAAAUUGUCAAAUUCAAUUAUUCCAUUUCCUGAUCUGAAGCAGUAUUUACCACGAACCCACAGAGAUACAUCUUCACCGCUCGAGAUGUAUCUUCAUGUCUUUUCUUGUUAAGGCUACGAGGUAAUCAAACUCUAAAUUUCUAAAAUAGACUAAAAAAUAAACUCUAAAAAUACUCUAAAAAAAACUCUAAAAUAGAAUAAAAAUUUCUAAAUAGACAUCGGCUAGUCCCCGAAACGUAUUCUAUAAACCUAGCAGCGACCCGUCGAUGAAAGAAGCUACGGCAAGUGCACGCAAUUCCCUUAUCAAAAUUCCAAAAUUGCAUCCAACCUCCGGCCACGCAAAGCUGCCUGGCCCUCGGCUCGUAACAAUAUUUACCUUCGAAUUCCGUAUUGUUGUUCUUGGUUGAUUGGGGGACAUUCGUAGGUUGACCACCCGAGAACUCCGCUACGAAAUGUGCGACUAAGCUAAUCACGAGGAACGUCAACGAAAACUUCUGCAUAUUGAGAUAUCUCAACUUCCUUGCCUGAGUAUCACUAUCAACGAUACUAUCUCCGGUGCUGACUAUCGGGUCAAGUUCGGAUUGCUCGAUUUUAUACUUCUGCCGUCGAUCUUGCUCUUCGACCCCGGACUUCAUUAUUUUCCGGGGAUUGAUCAUUCCAGUUCAGAAUUAUGCAUUACGUGUCGCUGCGUCGUUAAUUUUUCACAGACGUGUUAUUUCCCAUGAACAGGGAAAGUCGGGCAGAUAAUUAUUUGGUUUUAUUUAGUUUUUUAAA